rnacentral:rRNA from 1 species
UACAGAGGGGGCGAGCGUUGUUCGGAAUUACUGGGCGUAAAGGGCGCGUAGGCGGCCUCUUAAGUCGAACGUGAGAUCCCCGGGCUCAACCCGGGAACUGCGUCCGAUACUGGGGAGGCUUGAAUCCGGGAGAGGGAUGUGGAAUUCCAGGUGUAGCGGUGAAAAUGCGUAGAUAUCUGGAGGAACACCGGUGGCGAAGGCGGCAUCCUGGACCCAACACUGACGCUGAGUGAGCGAAAAGCCAGGGGGAGCAAACGGGGAUUAAA